AUGCUGGAGCGGGAUAUAGACAGAAUCAUAGCAACUGGUGGUGCUGCCAGGUUUGUACAGAGAGAGGCCCAUGCUCAGAAUAAAAAUGGAGCCAACUUUAGGGUGAUGUGCAACAAAUGCAAGGAUUUCAGGCACCUGACUAGGGAAUGUAAGCUCCCAAAUUGCAUUAUUUGUGGAAAAAAUUCUCACAUUACUGAGGAUUGCAACUGGCUAAAGCAGAUAAAAUCACUUCCCAAGUUUGUUGGAUAUGUUGCUAGAGGUCUGGGAGUGCUGCUGAUACAGAAUUGUAAGGAUGUUGUGAACAGUGAACAAGUCAAUCCAAUGGCAAUCAUCACUAUUACUUCUGGUGAAAUUAAUGAAACUCAGUUCCUGGAAGGCUUCAAUUACAUGUUCAAGUGGGACUGGCAAUGGAGAUGCAAGAAACAUGGAGACAGGGCCUAUCUUAUGAGAUUUCCAAAUAAGAGCAGACUGAUUGAACUUCACAAAUUUGGAAAUUUCAAUCUCCUAGGGACAAAUGAUGUCAUCAAUGUAGAUAGUUGGACUUAUGACACACAAUCCAUAGGGAAACUUCACACUAUGUGGGUAAAGUUGGGGAAAGUGCCUGAAUGUUUCAGGCACUUCUUUGGUGCUUGUGAGGUGGCUGCUACAAUUGGUCCAGUACUAGAGAUUGACAUGACAACAAUCUUGAAGGAAAAAAUAAGAGUCAAGGUAGGGGUGAGAGACUUUGAAAGAAUACCCAAGCAUACUGAAGUGACUGACAAGGACCUCAUGAUCUACAGAGUGACUUUGGAGCUUGAAAGGGUGAUAGAGCAGGGUUGGUAUGAAGACAGAAGAAAAUAUGAAGGCACUAAGACAGACAAGGAUAUAGACUCAGAUGAUAUGAGAAAGAAAAUCAAAAUUGGUGGAGUAGAUGCAGAGGGGAGCAAGGAAACAUUUCACUGGGUAGUGUGGGUCUUAAACAGUUUGAGGAAAUGA
rnacentral:rRNA from 1 species